rnacentral:rRNA from 1 species
AUAUCAAUAAGCGGAGGAAAAGAAACUAACAAGGAUUCCCCUAGUAACUGCGAGUGAAGCGGGAAAAGCUCAAAUUUGAAAAUCUGGCAGUGCUCUGCUGUCAUCCGAGUUGUAAUCUAGAGAAGCUGUCUAUCCGCGCUGGACCGUGUCACAAGUCUCCUGGAAUGGAGCGUCAUAGAGGGUGAGAAUCCCGUCUUUGGACACGGACGUCACCAGGGCUUCUGUGAUAUCGCUCUCGAAGAGUCGAGUUGUUUGGGAAUGCAGCUCUAAAUGGGUGGUGAAACUUCCAUCUAAAGCUAAAUAUUGGCGAGAGACCGAUAGCGAACAAGUACCGUGAGGGAAAGAUGAAAAGCACUUUGGAAAGAGAGUGUAAACAGUAC